AAGGAUCAUUACCGUGGGGAUUCGUCCCUAUCGAGAUAGCACCCUUUGUUUAUGAGUACCAUUUGUUUCCUCGGCGGGUCUGCCUAGACCUGCCGCCAGGACCCCCCCAAAAACCUUUGUAGUUGCAGUACCUUCAGUAAUCAAAAAAUAUCAAAACUUUCAACAACGGAUCUCUUGGUUCUG
rnacentral:misc_RNA from 1 species